UACGGAGGGGGCUAGCGUUGUUCGGAAUUACUGGGCGUAAAGCGCGCGUAGGCGGCUUUGUAAGUCAGAGGUGAAAGCCCGGAGCUCAACUUCGGAAUAGCCUUUGAGACUGCAUCGCUUGAAUCCGGGAGAGGUGAGUGGAAUUCCGAGUGUAGAGGUGAAAUUCGUAGAUAUUAGGAAGAACACCAGUGGCGAAGGCGGCUCACUGGCUCGGUACUGACGCUGAGGCGCGAAAGCGUGGGGAGCAAACAGG
rnacentral:rRNA from 1 species